rnacentral:tRNA from 1 species
CUGGACUUAUUUUAAAUGAAAAUGUUUGGUUUCCGACCAAGAGAUCUUUGUGUUAUAUGAGAGUUUAGA